rnacentral:rRNA from 1 species
UACGUAGGGUGCGAGCGUUAAUCGGAAUUACUGGGCGUAAAGCGUGCGUAGACGGUUAUUUAAGUCGGAUGUGAAAGCCCCGGGCUCAACCUGGGAAUUGCAUUCGAGACUGAAUAGCUAGGGUACGGUAGAGGGAAGUGGAAUUUCCGGUGUAGCGGUGAAAUGCGUAGAUAUCGGAAGGAACAUCAGUGGCGAAAGCGACUUCCUGGACCAGUACCGACGUUCAGGCACGAAAGCGUGGGGAGCAAACAGGA